GAUGAACGCUGGCUACAGGCUUAACACAUGCAAGUCGUGGGGAAACGGCAUUAUGUGCUUGCACAUUCUGGACGUCGACCGGCGCACGGGUGAGUAUCGCGUAUCCAACCUGCCCCUUACUUGGGGAUACCCCGUUGAAAGACGGCCUAAUACCCGAUGUGUUUCAUUGACGGCAUCCGAUAUGAAACAAAGGUUUUCCGGUAAGGGAUGGGGAUGCGUCUGAUUAGCUAGUUGGCGGGGCAACGGCCCACCAAGGCGACGAUCAGUAGGGGUUCUGAGAGGAAGGUCCCCCACAUUGGAACUGAGACACGGUCCAAACUCCUACGGGAGGCAGCAGUGAGGAAUAUUGGUCAAUGGACGCAAGUCUGAACCAGCCAAGUGGCGUGCAGGAUGACGGCCCUAUGGGUUGUAAACUGCUUUUAUGUGGGAAUAAAUUGGCGCACGUGUGCGCCAUUGCAUGUACCUCAUGAAUAAGGACCGGCUAAUUCCGUGCCAGCAGCCGCGGUAAUACGGAAGGUCCGGGCGUUAUCCGGAUUUAUUGGGUUUAAAGGGAGUGUAGGCGGUCUGUUAAGCGUGUUGUGAAAUUUAGGUGCUCAACAUUUAACUUGCAGCGCGAACUGUCAGACUUGAGUACACGCAGCGCAGGCGGAAUUCAUGGUGUAGCGGUGAAAUGCUUAGAUAUGACGAAGAACUCCGAUUGCGAAGGCAGCUUGCGGGAGCACAACUGACGCUGAAGCUCGAAAGUGCGGGUAUCGAACAGG
rnacentral:rRNA from 1 species